UCCCUGGUGGCUUAGCUGGUAAAGAAUCUGCCUGCAAUGUGGAAGACCUAGGUUCGAUUCCUGGGUUGGGAA
rnacentral:tRNA from 1 species